CACGGGUGCAGCGGGGCCUGCUCUCAGCAGGCUCAGUGCUGAGCCACAACACACUAAUGAGACGGUCUGAGACGGAUGAUCUGUCCACUGUGGAGGGGAGAGCAGGCACAGCCAGGUAGUCACUGAAUUACCUUUAGCUGAAACUGGUGAAUAAGUACUGACAUUGGAACAGUGUCAGAGAAUGAGAACAUCACUCACCUAAUAUCUGAAAAUAAACACGAGAAGGAGUAGCAAUAAACACAUGAAUAACUCAGAACUAAACAUUUCUAGAAAAGCCUCCUCGAACCUGACUAUAGACUCAUUUUAGAGUCUUUUGAUACAACAUUCUAAUAAAUUUGAAAUACCACCAAGUUGUUGAUUUGGGAUUUAUUUUUGCAUUUUACCCAGUUCAAGAGCUUCUUUCAGGUGAAGAGAUACUUCUCCCAGCACAGACCCCUGCCCUGUUCUACCAGCAGAGCUGGGUCCCCUCCUGAGCAGGCCAGAGCCUUCAGGUUUCACUGGAAAAUACCGACUUCUGCCAUCGGUAGAGCAGUCUUUACUUUUCUAAACAGAAAAUUGUUUUGAAACUUAAAUGAA